UGCAUACAUAUUUGAACCUAAUAUUGCGUUGAAUUGCAAAAGCAUUUAGCAUAGAUAAUUUUAACCGUAUUAUCUACUUUGUCUCGAUAGAAAGUUUGCGUGCUACGUAAUUAAGCUCCAACGUUCUAAAUCCGCUAAUUUACUUACCCGUACACUUCGCCAGUCACUUCGCAAAUAGUCUUCUCUGGUACUGUCGUCCAGUAGUAACCUGCCAUUGCCAGUGCUUCUCCGUUCAUAAGUCCAAAUCCGAAAGCCGGGUUAAACCAAAAUCCAGCUGCAUUUUUGAACCAUCCCGGAUUUUUGCUGAAAAUUUUAUGAUCGCGAGAGCUAAUAUUCCGGCGGCCAAUGGAGCAGAAGCUGAAGUACCUGUAUGCUUGGUCGUGCAGGUAUUCUUUAGAUCUGUCGUUACCUGGAAAACAUAAAUAAAAGCUACUAAAUUAUUCGGUAUUCUCCGUAAGACGGAUCUUCUCUCUUCGUGGAUACUACUCAUUCAAUCUCAGAGGGGAAGAACCGACACGAGAAUAGCAGGACAUUUCUCUCCGUACCAAGGAAGUUCUCCAGUUUGGCUAAUUGAUCCAACGGCUAUGGUGUAUAUGCUUCCAACAUAUCCGUCAUAUCCGCAGUCGUCCGAAUUGCCACCAUUCCCAGCGGCCCAUACAUAAAUGUUACCUUUACCGUUACGACCCUGUCACGUAUUCGAGUAUCAAUAUUGCCUCACGUAAUAUCAAGUAAAUGAUGAUUUAUUCACGAGAUGAUGAAACUUUCACGUUAUAUAUCAGAUUAUAUAAUAAAAAUGUUAUAUUUGCAAAUCAUAA